GCCUCAGUGGCUCAGUUGGUUAAGCAUCUGACUUCUUCUCAGGUCACGAUCUCACAGUCUGUGGGUUCGAGCCCCAUGUCAGGCU
rnacentral:tRNA from 1 species